rnacentral:sRNA from 1 species
ACAUUAAUUAAUCAAAAUGUCAACAACAAAAAAUAUUUGUGCUUCUAAUCAGGAGGGAAGGAUUCUUUUAGUCAUUAAAGCAUUAGAAGAAGAUCAUAUUUCUGGUAUUAGAGCUGCUGCAUGAUUGUACAAUGUCCCUCACUCCAGCCUAGCAGAUCGAUUACAUGGUUGGACAAUGUGAAAGGAUUCUCAGUCAAGAAACUGAAAAUUGACAAUUACAGAGGAGUCUGCUUUAAUUGAGUGGAUAUUAUCCAUGAAUGAAAGAGACCAGCCUCUCUGAGUCACAACUGUAUGAGAUAUAGCCAAUAUACUUCUUGCUGCACGAGGCCAAUUCACCAACCCAUCCACAGUGGGAGAAUGCUGGGUUAAUUGAUUUGUUAGCUGCCAUGAAGAGCUAAAAUCAAAGUUCUCUCACAAGUAUGAUCAUCAAUGAGCUCUAUGUGAGAAUUCUGAGGUUAUACAGAGAUGGUUCUGACUUGUAUGAAACACAGUUCAGAAGUAUGGGAUUCUGUCAGAUGAUAUAUACAACUUUGAUGAGACUGGGUUUCAAAUGAGUGUUAUUGAGACAGUCAGAGUGAUUACUGAAUCUGAGAGAGUUGACUGUUCAAAUCUUAUACAAUCUGGAAAUUGGGGUUGGGCUACUGUUAUUGCUGGAAUCAAUGCAACUGACUGAGCUUUGCAUACAAUGAUUAUUCUGAAGGGAAAGAUGCAUCAAUCCUGUUGAUAUGAGACUGAGAGACUCUCAGAAGACUGAGUGAUUGGAGUCAGUGACAAUGACUGAACAAAUGAUAAGCUGGGG